GAUGAACGCUGGCGGCGUGCCUAAUACAUGCAAGUCGAGCGAACGGACGAGAAGCUUGCUUCUCUGAUGUUAGCGGCGGACGGGUGAGUAACACGUGGAUAACCUACCUAUAAGACUGGGAUAACUUCGGGAAACCGGAGCUAAUACCGGAUAAUAUUUUGAACCGCAUGGUUCAAAAGUGAAAGACGGUCUUGCUGUCACUUAUAGAUGGAUCCGCGCUGCAUUAGCUAGUUGGUAAGGUAACGGCUUACCAAGGCAACGAUGCAUAGCCGACCUGAGAGGGUGAUCGGCCACACUGGAACUGAGACACGGUCCAGACUCCUACGGGAGGCAGCAGUAGGGAAUCUUCCGCAGUGGGCGAAAGCCUGACGGAGCAACGCCGCGUGAGUGAUGAAGGUCUUCGGAUCGUAAAACUCUGUUAUUAGGGAAGAACAUAUGUGUAAGUAACUGUGCACAUCUUGACGGUACCUAAGCAGAAAGCCACGGCUAACUACGU
rnacentral:rRNA from 1 species